AUGGUGUUCCCCAAAUAUAUUAUAGAUUAGCAUUUUUGGUAUGGUAAUCUUCCACUCCAAUCCAAACAUGCUUGUCCCUCAAAGUUUCUAUAGCCGAUUACUGACAUUCUCAGUGUCUAGGCCAAUGGUGGAUGUGCUGAUGGUUGGACUGAUGAAGUGCACGGUAGCAUGUACGCGCGGUGUGCUACUUUCCCAAUGCCACCAAUUCCCUGUAAAAAAAUCCUCCUACAUGAUUUGUCCACGGUAUAUACAUGCUACACAACUGCAAAAAAAAAGGAAAAAAAAGAAGUCAUCGAGAUAGCUCUAUUUUUGUAUUCGGUAGAGGCAUAGGAG
rnacentral:lncRNA from 1 species